UACGUAGGGUGCAAGCGUUGUCCGGAAUUUAUUGGGCGUAAAGAGCUCGUAGGCGGUCUGUCGCGUCUGCUGUGAAACCUAGGGCUUAACUCUGGGCGUGCAGUGGGUACGGGCAGGCUAGAGUGCGGUAGGGGAGACUGGAAUUCCUGGUGUAGCGGUGAAAUGCGCGAUAUCAGGAGGAACACCGGUGGCGAAGGCGG
rnacentral:rRNA from 1 species